rnacentral:sRNA from 1 species
CUGGAUAUUCCUCAAUUUCUAUAAAUUCUAUAAAUUAUUAUAGAGAGAUAUAUGCAGAAAAGCAAAAUGUUGUUCAAUGGGAAACAAAACAAAUGGUGGAGACGGAGGCGGAGGCGGACGAGGAGGGGGAGGGCAGAGGGUGUCUGUCCCUCCCUCCCUAUCAUGUGAGUGGGUGAAGAGGCAACAACAAAGAUGCAACAAAGAUAGCAACAAACACUAUGUACUUUUUCUGGGGUUUACUGUUUUGGUAGUUUGUUUCCCUCUUUAGCUAGUUUUUUUUUAAUUUUGUUGGUAGAAUGACCGUUACGCCAAUUAGUUUGGGGUUUUCCUUUUUUUUCUUUUUGUUGGUUUUUUUUGGUUUUUUUUUUGGUUUUUUGGGUGUUUUUUUUAACCAUAAAAACUAUGUGUGCAGUAAAUUAUUGCAGCAAACGAAACGAAAAUGGAAACCAGAACAAAAUGAAGGACAUUUGACAGAUGUUACACGAUGCGUUUUCAACCGACGCGUCGGUGCUUCAUGGUCAUUGCAUUUUGCCAUUCACACUAUAUUGCUUACACAAAAACUUUGGAGCAUAUAAUAUUCUGUCGUAAUACAGUCACAUUUUCCUUCGGCGACAUUUACGGAAACUACUGAAAGUUUUGUUUUAUUUUUUGUAUACAUGAGAAUGGCAUGAAUUUCCCAAUGGAAAUGGCUGCUUUUAAAGCGUUUGAAGAUGUCAUUUUCUUUACAUUUUCACAGAUGAGAUGUUUUUCUAAAUAAACUUCUGAAAAACUACAGAAAGCUUUGUUGGUUUUCGUAUACAUGAGAAUGGCUCUCGUUUCCCCAUGUGAAUGGCUCUUUAUAGCUUAUUCGCUUCACAAUUCGGCGGACUUUACGUUUCUGAGGUUUGUUUUGGAUCAAAAACACAUCGUGUAACAGCAGUAACUUUGAAAAGUGGACAAGUGGAAUAUAUCCCGAAAACAUAUUGUGUGACUGACUGACUGGCUGAUUGACUGACUGAUGGAUUACGACUACGGGGGAGGGGAGUAUGGACAGUGGAGUGGAUCGUGAGAGUGGAGGAGGCAGAGUGGGAAUGGAGCUAAUUAUGAGCUUUGAUGACAUGCAGAGAGGAGAGGGACACCAUAAAGAGGGCGAGAGAGAGUCAAGCCCUAAACCGCAUGCUGAUUGACUGCCUGUGCGAGUACGUUUGUCAAUGACUGUACAUGGCUUUUUCUCUCUGGAUCAGUGACUGUGUGUGUCGUGUGUCCUGCGACUUAAUGGGCACUCAAACACUUUUCGGCAUGUCAUAAAAAACAUGACACAGGCAGGCAGACAGGCAGACAGGCAGGCAGGCAGCCGCAAGGCUGCCCCUCGAGGGCACUACAUGGCGGGCCGCACAUCUCUCUUCGCAUAUACCCUCUCCUGGGGCCACACUCUCUCUCCUUUGGAGACUAUGUACAUAUAUUCAUUGGUAAAACUAAUUUAAUUUAUAUUUUUGCACAUAAUUGAAUACUAAUUGAAUGUUUGCAUGCAGAUGGAAAUGGAAAUGGCAAAUAGAGAGAAAGAGUUGUGGCAAAUAUUCGAAUAAUCAACAAAUCAAUUUGAGUGCCAAAAACAGAGAGACGGAGAGAGUCCAGAGUGCAGAGAGUAGGGGUUACAGGUUACAGGUUAAAGGGGGAUUAAACAUUACAAAGAGUGAAAGAGAGGGGGGAGGGGGGAUUAGCAAAUAUAUUUCGAUAUUUAAUUGAAGUUUAUUUGGUUUUUUGGAACUAAAUUGCAUACUCAUUGAGUGGCGUGAAUACCAAACCACUUUGCGAGUGGCUGCAUCGUUCAUGUUGUUGUUGUUCAUGUUGUUGUGGCAGUGGCAGUGGUGGCAGAGUGGCACAGACAGAAAGGUGGAUGAAGUGGAUGACAAAAGAGCACAUAUACUAGACAUUGGGUACAACAUAGUGUGAGUGUGUGGUGGCAGAGUGACACUAAUGGAAUUUCUUUCGGCAGCCUCGCUUCAAAUUAAGCGGCAUCCCAGAAAGUAGACAACGAAAUUCACUCGAGUGUCUGUCCUUAAAUUGCAGCAGCCCCGAAAGUAUGCUACAACAUCUGUGCUAAAUAGAUACACUAUGCGAAUUGUCCGCGAUACGUUGCGUACCAAAUUCGUUGCAUACUUUUGGGGGCUGCCUAAAAUGGUAGACCAACUAGCAGGCCUGUCCUCGAUUUCAUUUGCACAAAAACUGACGUUUGAAUUAAUAGAAUUUAAUUUAUUAGCAAUGAUCACCGACAGUUCUCAACAAACAUUUAAAACUCUACCAGCAUUUAAUUUUCCAAAAAUCUUUUGCUGAGCAACAAAAGAAGUGACGGAUUUUACAGAUACACAAUUCAGAUUCCGAAACGGAAACAGAAACAGAUGCAACACAUUUUUUGCAAUGAAUGAAUGAAUGAGUGAAAGAGACUCUUAAACGAAUGCUGCUGCUCAUUAUGGCGUGAUGAUUAUUCGUGAUUAUUCGUUAGUAAGUUGUGAUUAAUUGUUAAAAUGAAUGUUAGUUAGUGUUUAAUGUUAGUUAGUAAUGCUAGUAAGC